rnacentral:rRNA from 1 species
ACAUGCAAGUCGAACGCGAAAGCCUCCUUCGGGGGGCAAGUAGAGUGGCGCACGGGUGAGUAACACGUAGGUAAUCUACCUUUGGAUUGGGAAUAACCACCGGAAACGGUGGCUAAUACCGAAUAAUGCAGCGGCACCUAAUGGUGACAGUUGUUAAAGCGGGGGAUCGAAAGACCUCGCGUCUAAAGAGGAGCCUGCGGCGGAUUAGCUAGUUGGUAAGGUAACGGCUUACCAAGGCGAUGAUCCGUAGCCGGCCUGAGAGGGCGGUCGGCCACACUGACACUGACAUACGGGUCAGACUCCUACGGGAGGCAGCAGUCGGGAAUUUUGGGCAAUGGGCGAAAGCCUGACCCAGCAACGCCGCGUGAAGGAUGAAAUCCUUCGGGAUGUAAACUUCGCAAGAACGGGAAGAAUAAGUGAGAGUUAAUAUCUCUUACGAUGACGGUACUGUUUGUAAGCUCCGGCUAACUCCGUGCCAGCAGCCGCGGUAAUACGGGGGGAGCAAGCGUUGUUCGGAUUUACUGGGCGUAAAGGGCGCGUAGGCGGCCACCGCAAGUCGACUGUGAAAUCUCCGGGCUUAACCCGGAAAGGUCAGCCGAUACUGCGGGGCUAGAGUGCAGAAGGGGCAACUGGAAUUCUCGGUGUAGCGGUGAAAUGCGUAGAUAUCGUGAGGAACACCUGCGGCGAAGCGGGUUGCUGGGCUGACACUGACGCUGAGGCGCGAAAGCUAGGGGAGCGAACGGGAUUAGAUACCCCGGUAGUCCUAGCCUUAA